CCUACGGGAGGCAGCAGUGGGGAAUAUUGCGCAAUGGGCGAAAGCCUGACGCAGCGACGCCGCGUGAGGGAUGAAGGUCUUCGGAUCGUAAACCUCUGUCAGCAGGGAAGAACGGUCACUGUGCUAAUCAGCAGUGAAUUGACGGUACCUGCAAAGGAAGCACCGGCUAACUCCGUGCCAGCAGCCGCGGUAAUACGGAGGGUGCGAGCGUUAAUCGGAAUUACUGGGCGUAAAGCGCUCGUAGGCGGUAUGUCAAGUCAAGGGUGAAAUCCCCGCGCUCAACGUGGGAACUGCCUUUGAAACUGGCAGACUGGAGUGUGUGAGAGGAUAGUGGAAUGCCAGGUGUAGGAGUGAAAUCCGUAGAUAUCUGGAGGAACAUCAGUGGCGAAGGCGACUAUCUGGCACAUAACUGACGCUGAGGUGCGAAAGCGUGGGUAGCAAACAGGAUUAGAUACCCCAGUAGUC
rnacentral:rRNA from 1 species